AUGAAACUUCAUCAAUUGAUAGUAUUGGUGAGAGAGCAUAUGGCACUUGUUGAUGGCUAUUGUACAAGUGGAAGGAUCGACGAUGGGUUGAUUCUAUUUAGAGAUUUUCUUCACAAGAGAAUCAAACCUACAACUAUUACAUAUAACAUCAUACUGGAUGGGUUAUUUCGUGCUGGGAGAACAUUUGUUGCCAAAAAGAUGUUCCAUGAGAUGAUCGGAAGUGGAACACCCGUGAGCCUGCACACAUACAAUAUAAUUCUUGGAGGUCUUUGUAGGAAUAAUUGUGCUGAUGAAGUGAUCACCAUGUUCCAGAAAUUACGUGCAAUGAAUAUGAAGUUGAAUAUUGCAAUACUCAAUACCAUGAUUAGUGCAAUGUUCAAGGUUCGGAGAAGAGAAGAAGCUAAUGAUUUGUUUGCUGUAAUAUCAGCCUGUGCAUUGGUACCCAAUGCCUCUACCUACAUG
rnacentral:rRNA from 1 species